rnacentral:rRNA from 1 species
UGGGGAAUGAUUGCACAAUGGGCGAAAGCCUGAUCCAGCAAUGCCGCGUGUGUGAAGAAGGCCUUCGGGUUGUAAAGCACUUUUUGUCCGGAAAGAAAUCCUUGGCUCUAAUACAGUCGGGGGAUGACGGUACCGGAAGAAUAAGCACCGGCUAACUACGUGCCAGCAGCCGCGGUAAUACGUAGGGUGCAAGCGUUAAUCGGAAUUACUGGGGCGUAAAGCGUGCGCAGGCGGUUUGCUAAGACCGAUGUGAAAUCCCCGGGCUCAACCUGGGAACUGCAUUGGUGACUGGGCAGGCUAGAGUAUGGCAGAGGGGGGUGAGAAUUCCACGUGUAGCAGUGAAAUGCGUAGAGAUGUGGAGGAAUACCGAUGGCGAAGGCAGCCCCCUGGCAAGUCACUGACGCUCAUGCACG